rnacentral:lncRNA from 1 species
CUAAAGUAAAACAAAUCCCAUUUUCAGCUAAACUCCUCAACAAUCAGCAAAUAUUAUAUUAAAUUCAAUGAUCGUUAAUGCAGUAUAUGACUAAUAAUGCAGCAGUAAUUUGAACUUUAAAAUUCAGCUUAUGAUCUUGGUAAAGUCCUUCAAUAAUUUUGAAAUGUUGGAAAAUAUAUUUUGUUAGCUUUCAUAUUAUAAAGACAUGAAUAAACAUUACUAUAUUGUGUAAAUUGUUCUCCCAUAAACCAAUGUACAAGAUUUGAAAGGUUCAUAUAUUAACUAGAGAAUCACACUAUUCUUUGUUCAUCGACCAGGUUAUUGCUGGAGAUGCCAGGGAAGAACUAGCACACUAAAUCACAUUUGAUGGGACUAUCCCAUCCUAGUUCAAUAAUAGAUCAAAGUUAAACACCAUGUGUUUAUGUAACACACUUCCUGUCAGUUGGGCUAUCCUGGAUUUAUUUAAUAUGAAAAAUCAGUGUUAUGGACUCAGGGGAGAGAUACUAAUCUCUUCCUUUUUGAUGAAUGUCUGACAAACUGUAUGCAAUUUAAUCUCUCUAAUUCAUUUGUAUUAUACCCCAACCUUAAAAUCCAUUGUUAGAAUCCCUUUACAUGGCAUAGAUGUAUUGGUAAACCAAAGAUAUAAUCUAGGACUCUUUAGUUAAUCUUUCAGAUUAACUAAAGAAGGGAUUCAAAAGGGAUCCGUAGAUGUGAGAUUCAGUGAUUUGUUGGUUUGUUUUCUGAAGCUAACCAAAGUCCACAACAUGGUCUGUUAUAAUUUUCUUUAUCUAUUCAUUAAAAAAAUUCUAAGUAAGUUUUUAGUAAAAAUAAGUACAUUAUUAGAAGCUAAAUAAUUGCAACUUUAUAACGUGUGGUAACUUCAUUACAAUAUUAUAUUUGUCAACAAAAAGAUUGCAUAUUGAUCUAUGCUUUUUUUUGUCAGUCAUUCUUUUCUUGAGUCAAGUUAUUCAGACAUUACAGGUAACAGUGGAGUCAUUAGUGUUAUGCAUUUAGAAUGAAUAAUAAAUUACAGAAAAACAUACUCCAAAGGAGAUCCGGAGAUCUGAUGCGUUGCAUGGAGGAGGUACCUCUGUGUUCGCGUCCACACAGCUCUGGCCUCCCUUUGGAGGUGGGGUGCAUGCUACUGCCAGGAGGUGUUCCAAGCGAGUCCACAAAUGUUCAAAGAUAGUCUCCAGGAAUGCUGGAAUAGGGUGGGCAUGUAUAAACUACUCCAUAUUUGCUGAGGUCAAGCUUGUUGGAGGAGUGAUUACGCCCAUUGGUACAGGAGGGUCAGGCCUUACAUGAUGUCUACCUUCGGUGGCCAUCUUAGGACACACGUGGCAGAAAGUAAGUGUUGCAGGCCCUUCCAUUCCUGUGGCCGUGAUAAAUGUGACACUCCAGUGGGGACCUGGAUAUCACCCACCGGGGGGAAGGGAGAUUGAGAAAGGGGUAUGAAGAGUUGUAGUGCUGUACAGCUCGCAAGACAGUGAGGAAGACGGCCACCUUCCCACAGCUCAGGCUUUUGCAGGUUGCAACCUGCUUCAGCAGUUCCCGGUAGCCAAAGGUUUUGAGUAAGGGCUCUCUAGAUACGUUGAGGUGUCUCCUGACCAGUGAGCUCCUCGGCAGGAUUUUCUCAUCUUUAUAUUACCGGUAAGAAAGCGCGAAUAGCCAGAACCUGUACAGACAUGUCUUGUCAGCUAGGGAUGCAGACUCUGCCCCCCUCUAUGCAAUCUUUUUGUCAACAAAUAUAAUACUAUAAUGACGUUUCCACAGACUAUAAAUCUGUGCAACGGUAACUAACUCUAUAAUAUUUCACAAUAAUUAAGAUUUAAAUAAAUAUACAAUUAAAAUGUAAAUUAUUCACUGCAGUAAGAUAAACAAUUUGCAAUACAAAAAAAGAGUAAACAGUGAAAAAAAGGUUUUCACAUAAUUUUAAAGCAAGUCAAAAAUGUUGCUUCUAGGAAUAAAUAGAAAGCUUAAACAUUUUUUAUAUCCCUGAGGCAUGUGAUGUCCUGUAGACUUCCACAAAGAGAGGCACAGGAAAAAUACGUUGAUAUAUCUAAAACUUUUGUGAACCUGGUGGGUGAAAUGGGUUAUGCCAGUUUUACCAUGUUACUCCCCAACCUAGUAGCCAGAGACAUAACCUUCACAUGAGUUUUCCAGUUUCCAC